AUGCAGUGAUGAUCUCCAUCUUGGUUUCGCUUUUUGCUGAGUUCCAGUGAAGACUCAUUUCUCUUGGCUGUCUGAGCAU
rnacentral:snoRNA from 7 species